GACGAACGCUGGCGGCAUGCCUAACACAUGCAAGUCGAGCGAGCUGAUUCCUUCGGAAUGAAGCUAGCGGCGGACGGGUGAGUAACACGUGGGCAACCUGCCUCAUAGAGGGGAAUAGCCUUCCGAAAGGAAGAUUAAUACCGCAUAAGAUUGUAGCACCGCAUGGUAUAGCAAUUAAAGGAGUAAUCCGCUAUGAGAUGGGCCCGCGGCGUAUUAGCUAGUUGGUGAGGUAACGGCUCACCAAGGCGACGAUGCGUAGCCGACCUGGGAGGGUGAUCGGCCACAUUGGGACUGAGACACGGCCCAGACUCCUACGGGAGGCAGCAGUGGGGAAUAUUGCACAAUGGGGGAAACCCUGAUGCAGCAAUGCCGCGUGAGUGAUGACGGCCUUCGGGUUGUAAAGCUCUGUCUUCGGGGACGAUAAUGACGGUACCCGAGGAGGAAGCCACGGCUAACUACGUGCCAGCAGCCGCGGUAA
rnacentral:rRNA from 1 species